rnacentral:rRNA from 1 species
UGGGGAAUUUUGGACAAUGGGGGAAACCCUGAUCCAGCCAUCCCGCGUGUGCGAUGAAGGCCUUCGGGUGUAAAGCACUUUUGGCAGGAAAGAAACGUCGCGGGUUAAUACCCCGCGAAACUGACGGUACCUGCAGAAUAAGCACCGGCUAACUACGUGCCAGCAGCCGCGGUAAUACGUAGGGUGCAAGCGUUAAUCGGAAUUACUGGGCGUAAAGCGUGCGCAGGCGGUUCGGAAAGAAAGAUGUGAAAUCCCAGAGCUUAACUUUGGAACUGCAUUUUUAACUACCGGGCUAGAGUGUGUCAGAGGGAGGUGGAAUUCCGCGUGUAGCAGUGAAAUGCGUAGAUAUGCGGAGGAACACCGAUGGCGAAGGCAGCCUCCUGGGAUAACACUGACGCUCAUGCACGAAAGCGUGGGGAGCAAACAGGAUUAGAUACCCUGGUAGUCCACGCCCUAAACGAUGUCAACUAGCUGUUGGGGCCUUCGGGCCUUGGUAGCGCAGCUAACGCGUGAAGUUGACCGCCUGGGGAGUACGGUCGC